UUUUUUGUAGUCAUUCCCUCAUCUUUUUUUUUCUGCGGAGGAAUUGCCUUUUCCAACCUCUGGACGACAUAUCUGGAAAGUGACUGAGUGGAAUAUGGGAGCAAAAGGACAAGAAAGACAGAAAAGACUCCCAGGGAGGCGAGACUCCGCCUGCAGCGACUGCUUCACUCCGCAUGGGCCACCAUCCCCAUCUGGAUCACCUUUACUACGUCUACCAGAGGAGGAGUGUAAUUGGGAGCAGUGUGCUGGAGUGCAGAGUGUCAGGGAGUCAGCAAGCCAGCCUGCCACAGCCGGUGAUACAGGACGAUAGAAGAGGAAGAUUAGUGGAGCAGCCUGCAAGGCAGCAAAAGCAGUGAGUCAGCUGUGGACUGUCAGCUGGUAAAAUGACCAUGUCAGUCAGGGAGUCCGUCAGUCAAGCAAGCAGAGCGCAGAGUCUGGCCUCUCUUCCCUCCUGUAAGUACACAUACAUCUAAAAGGAGGAGAGUGCGGCGUCGGGACAAGGCUACUUAGCAUUCCCCUGUCAUCACCUCACUGCUCAGAACUUCUGUUAUUGAAGAGGAAGGAAAAAAGAGCAAGGUAGGGGACAGAAAAGAGAAAGGAAGAAGGCAGUUGUGGUGGCACGAAGGCUACGUUAGAGCCCCAGGAAGGGGUUCAAGCCUAACGAGAAAGCCAAGGAACAAAUGAUCAAUAAACAAAGGAAGAGAAGAAACAAAAGAAGAGAAGAAUUGUAAAGAACAUGAAUUACAAAGAGAGAGAGCCAGUCGCAGAAAGUAAAUCUCCCAAACCAAUAAAGAGUUAUGCGUUGUGAUCUGUUCCAAC